rnacentral:rRNA from 1 species
GUCCUACGGGAGGCAGCAGUAGGGAAUCUUCCACAAUGGACGAAAGUCUGAUGGAGCAACGCCGCGUGAGUGAAGAAGGGUUUCGGCUCGUAAAGCUCUGUUGGUAGUGAAGAAAGAUAGAGGUAGUAACUGGCCUUUAUUUGACGGUAAUUACUUAGAAAGUCCCGGCUAACUACGUGCCAGCAGCCGCGGUAAUACGUAGGUGGCAAGCGUUUUCCGGAUUUAUUUGGCGUAAAGCGAGUGCAAGCGGUUGCAUAAGUUUG